CGUGGAAAAGAGGUCGAGAGAUCAGAGACAAUUUGGGAAGGAGGAUGAAGUAUGUGAAGAGGAACUCAAAAGCUGUUGGGAUCACCAUCCUUACUGUAAUUCUAAGAGUAUAAAUAAUCAGGUACAAGAGUAGCUACUGAGUAGGGGAUGUCGUCUAUGCCCCUUUAGCUUUUAUCAUUAGGUCUUAGAGGAGUCGCUCUGAUAUGUAGCAUUCGAGAUGGGAUGUCGUCCUUCAUUGUAUGAUGUUUUGUUUUGUUUUGUUGGAGUUGUUGUUGAGACUUUAUGGUGGACUUUGUUUAAUUUCUGCUGCAUAUUUGCAUGACUAUUUGGUUUUUUGAAGUUUUA